rnacentral:rRNA from 1 species
ACUCCUACGGGAGGCAGCAGUGGGGAAUCUUAGACAAUGGGCGCAAGCCUGAUCUAGCCAUGCCGCGUGAGUGAUGAAGGCCUUAGGGUCGUAAAGCUCUUUCGCCAGGGAUGAUAAUGACAGUACCUGGUAAAGAAACCCCGGCUAACUCCGUGCCAGCAGCCGCGGUAAUACGGAGGGGUUAGCGUUGUUCGGAAUUACUGGGGCGUAAAGCGCGCGUAGGCGGAUUAGUCAGUUAGAGGUGAAAUCCCAGGGCUCAACCCUGGAACUGCCUUUAAUACUGCUAGUCUUGAGUUCGAGAGAGGUGAGUGGAAUUCCGAGUGUAGAGGUGAAAUUCGUAGAUAUUCGGAGGAACACCAGUGGCGAAGGCGGCUCACUGGCUCGAUACUGACGCUGAGGUGCGAAAGUGUGGGGAGCAAACAGGAUUAGAUACCCUGGUAGGAUAGCG